rnacentral:rRNA from 1 species
GAGUUUGAUCAUGGCUCAGAUUGAACGCUGGCGGCAUGCCUUACACAUGCAAGUCGAACGGCAGCACGGGAGCAAUCCUGGUGGCGAGUGGCGAACGGGUGAGUAAUACAUCGGAACGUGUCCUGUAGUGGGGGAUAGCCCGGCGAAAGCCGGAUUAAUACCGCAUACGAUCUACGGAAGAAAGCGGGGGAUCCUUCGGGACCUCGCGCUAUAGGGGCGGCCGAUGGCAGAUUAGCUAGUUGGUGGGGUAAAGGCCUACCAAGGCGACGAUCUGUAGCUGGUCUGAGAGGACGACCAGCCACACUGGGACUGAGACACGACCCAGACUCCUACGGGAGGCAGCAGUGGGGAAUUUUGGACAAUGGGGGAAACCCUGAUCCAGCAAUGCCGCGUGUGUGAAGAAGGCCUUCGGGUUGUAAAGCACUUUUGUCCGGAAAGAAAACCUUUGGGCUAAUACCCUGAGGGGAUGACGGUACCGGAAGAAUAAGCACCGGCUAACUACGUGCCAGCAGCGCGGUAAUACG